rnacentral:tRNA from 1 species
GGGGAUAUGGCGGAAUUGGUAGACGCUACGGACUUAAAAUCCGUCGGUUUUUUAGACCAUGAGGGUUCAAGUCCCUCUAUUCCCA